GCGGGUGCUAUUGGGCGGAGGACGAAUCCCGAGCUGCUCUCCUGCGACGCCGAAGGACAUGAGGGUUCUGAGAGGCGCCGUGGAGGAAGGAGGAGACCCUCUGAGGUCAUGCAGGCAGGAUUCUUCCUAAAUCCUACUGAAAAACUGAAUGGAGGAGUGUCAUGCCUCGGUUUCCCCAACUGCAAGGGCAAGACGCUGCUUGAAUCUGCUUGAAUCCAGAUCCAUCUGGAUCACCAGGUGUUGUGACAAUAAGGUGGAGGGCCAGACACCUUAUCAGCUAAUGAAUGUGUCCCUCAGGAUCCAGCACAGAAGUAUACAGGUAAUGGGGUAGACAAUAUUUAAAAUACAUGGAUCCAGAACAAGAAUAUGGAGGGGCGCCUGGGUGGCUCAGUCGGUUAAGCGUUGCCUUUGGCUCAGGUCAUGAUACCAGGGUCCUGGGAUCGAGCCCCACAUCGGGCUCCCUGCUCAGGGGGAAAGCCUGCUUCUCCCUUUCUCUCUGCCUGCCACUCCC
rnacentral:lncRNA from 1 species